UCUGCCAUAGGUUAAUGAAACUGUUAGCUUGUGGAGCUAAAGAUCUAAGGGUUGAGUGGUGGAA
rnacentral:tRNA from 1 species